rnacentral:rRNA from 2 species
GGACUACCCGGGUUUCUAAUCCCGUUUGCUCCCCUGGCCUUCGUGCCUCAGUGUCAGUAACUGUCCAGAGAUUCGCCUUCGCCACUGGUCUUCCUUACGAUAUCUACGCAUUUCACUGCUACACCGUAAAUUCCAAUCUCCUCUCCAGUACUCGAGCACCGCAGUAUCAAGUGCAGUUUCGGGGUUGAGCCCCGAGAUUUCACACCUGACUUACGGCGCCACCUACGCACCCUUUACGCCCAAUGAAUCCGAACAACGCUUGAGACCUCUGUAUUACCGCGGCUGCUGGCAC